UCUCAAGACUAAGCCAUGCAUGUCUAAGUAUGAACGCUUCGUACUGUGAAACUGCGAAUGGCUCAUUAAAUCAGUUAUAGUUUAUUUGAUGGUUGUUUGCUACAUGGAUAACCGUGGUAAUUCUAGAGCUAAUACAUGCAGAAGGUCCCGACUCCUGGAAGGGACGUAUUUAUUAGAUCCAAAACCAGCGCGGGUUGCCUUCGGGCGCCCGGUACCUGGGUGAUUCAUGAUAACUUCUCGAAUCGCACGGCCUUCGCGCCGGCGAUGGUCCAUUCAAAUUUCUGCCCUAUCAACUUUCGAUGGUACGGUAGUGGCCUACCAUGGUUGCAACGGGUGACGGAGAAUUAGGGUUCGAUUCCGGAGAGGGAGCCUGAGAAACGGCUACCACAUCCAAGGAAGGCAGCAGGCGCGCAAAUUACCCAAUCCCGACUCGGGGAGGUAGUGACAAUAAAUAACAAUGCCGGGCUCUUGUAGUCUGGCAAUUGGAAUGAGUCCAAUCUAAACCCCUUAACGAGGAACAAUUGGAGGGCAAGUCUGGUGCCAGCAGCCGCGGUAAUUCCAGCUCCAAUAGCGUAUAUUAAAGUUGUUGCAGUUAAAAAGCUCGUAGUUGGAUUUCGGGGCGGCCCGGCCGGUCCGCCGCAAGGCGAGCACUGGUCGGGCGCCCUUCCUCUCGAAGGCUUCGACUGCUCUUGAUUGUGGUGGUCGAGGAGUUCGGGACGUUUACUUUGAAAAAAUUAGAGUGUUCAAGGCAGGCCGUGGCCUGAAUACAUUAGCAUGGAAUAAUGGAAGAGGACCUCGGUCCUAUUUUGUUGGUUUCCAGGGCCGAAGUAAUGAUUGAGAGGGACAGUUGGGGGCAUUCGUAUUUAAUUGUCAGAGGUGAAAUUCUCGGAUUUAUGAAAGACGAACAAGUGCGAAAGCAUUUGCCAAGGAUGUUUUCAUUAAUCAAGAACGAAAGUUGGGGGUUCGA
rnacentral:rRNA from 1 species